UACGAAGGGGGCUAGCGUUGCUCGGAAUCACUGGGCGUAAAGGGUGCGUAGGCGGGUCUUUAAGUCAGGGGUGAAAUCCUGGAGCUCAACUCCAGAACUGCCUUUGAUACUGAAGAUCUCGAGUCCGGGAGAGGUGAGUGGAACUGCGAGUGUAGAGGUGAAAUUCGUAGAUAUUCGCAAGAACACCAGUGGCGAAGGCGGCUCACUGGCCCGGUACUGACGCUGAGGUGCGAAAGCGUGGGGAGCAAACGGG
rnacentral:rRNA from 1 species